rnacentral:rRNA from 1 species
AUACGUAGGGUGCAAGCGUUAAUCGGAAUUACUGGGCGUAAAGCGUGCGCAGGCGGUUUUGUAAGGCAGAGGGGAAAUCCCCGGGCUCAACCUUGGAACUGCCUUUGUGACUGCAAGGCUAGAGUACGGCCGAGGGGGAUGGAAUUCCGCGUGUAGCAGUGAAAUGCGUAGAUAUGCGGAGGAACACCGAUGGCGAAGGCAAUCACCUGGGCCUGUACUGACGCGCAUGCACGAAAGCGUGGGGAGCAAACAGGAUUAGAUACCCUGGUAGUCCACGCCCUAAACGAUGUCAACUGGUUGUUGGGUCUUCAUUGACUCAGUAACGAAGCUAACGCGUGAAGUUGACCGCCUGGGGAGUACGGCCGCAAGGUUGAAACUUAAAGGAAUUGACGGGG